CACAACUCUCUCUUCCGCCUCUUCGUUUCUCGUUGCGUCAAAACCCUCUCCUUUCGUUUAGUCGAUUAAUGCCAAUGUAUGUAUUAGUUAAUCCAAUAUAUGUAUUAGGGAGGGCUUUGACCUAAUAUAUUAAUGUUACUCCUAUUCUAAUUUGGUUUUUAAACCCAACACUUUAAAAUUGGGCACAAAUAAUUUUACAAGCCCAAACUUAAAUACUUUGAAAUUAGUUUGACCCAAUUAGUAUAAGGCCCAAAUUAAUGUAAUCACAUACUUAUUAUAAUCCACAUAAAUUAAAUACAAUUUGACCCAAACUGUCAAGCAUAAGAAAAACUCAAUUAAAAUAUUUAAAAUAUAAAUUUAAAUGUCGUUUAUUUAUUUUAUUUUAAUUUUUUUUCCGGGUAUUACAUCACAAAGGAUUCCGUCUCCGGAAUCAAAAGGAAAGAAUGUACCUAAUUAUCAAAAAGAUGCAGAUAUUUCGUCCGAACAGACUGUUCCAUCUCCAUAGUAGCUUCUCGCUCCAAAUGAUUUCUCCGCAAAAUCUUAACAAAAGGAAUUGUCUCCCUCCUCAUAAUCCACCCUUGACGAUCCAAAAUUGCCUCGGCAUGCUCCUCACAAAUAAGAUCUUCUCGAAUCUUAUGUAACAGGUAUUGCACAGCAUGAAGCGGAUGAUAAUUAUAUUUUCUUAACUUGAAAGAUGAAAGACAUUAUGUACAUGAGAUACUGUGGAGGAAAAGCCAUCCGAUAUGUCACGUCUCCAACUCUCUCAAGAACUUCAAAAGGGCCAAUGACACGCGGACUAAGCUUCUUUUUCAAACCGAACCUUCUAAUUACAUUUUUAUUAAAUAAAAUUAAUUAAUAUUUAAUUAUUAACAAAAAUAUGGGUUAUUACAUUCUUCCCCCCUAAAAAAAAUCCUGUCCUCGGAAUUCAAAUAAGCUAUAGAAAGUUUUAUUUUUAUUUUUAUUUAAAUUUUAUUUAAAUUGCGUAAUUAUUCAAAAAAAAAUUAGUUAAGAUGUAGCAUCACCUUUUGUAACAAUUAACGCUGGUAAGUCCAUCGGUCCACAUAAUUAUUACUUGUAGAAGAUUCGUCAGCUUCAACGUCAAGCCUUCAUAAGAUUCUUCGUUUUGCAUCGAAUUAUAAACAAUAUGCUCCACAGCUGGUGCGGGCCCCCAUCAAUUUCUUUAAGUUUCAUUCAUGCAAACGUACUCUUCGGAACAUAAUUUUUUGUUCAUCUAUAAUAGGGUUCGAAUACCCAAAAUAUUCAAAAUUAUCUUUAAUUCGUAAAAAGCUCAUGUUUUGCGCAUUAGUAGGAUCUAACAAAUUAUUUUUAUUUAUAUCUAUUUGUUUUACAUAAAGUCGCGCAAAACUCUAAGGACAUCUCAAAUAUUGCUAUAUCAUUCAAAGAAAUAUAACGCUAAGAUGUCUUUAUCACCAUAUCAAACUUCAAGUCAUGUAUUCUAUUAUCUGCAUAAGCAAACUACCUAGUUUGCUUAAGGUCUCUCAAAAUCUAUUGAAUUUCAUCAUUUACUAACUAAUCAUUUAAUAAAUCAAUCAUUUUCUUAUUUCAAACCUUAAUCCAACUAAUUCCAAUAUCUCCUCAUACUAUCACAAAGAAAUUUCAUACAAAAUAAUUCCAGUAUCCUACUAGGAAAUAGCCACAAAAUUUAUCAUUAGCCUCAAAUGAUAGCCACAAAAUUGAUCAUUAGCCUCAAAUGAUUAAUCUAAUUACGUACCUCGAAUAUCUACAACUUAAGUUUACAAGAGAUCCUCUAUACUUAAUAGUUUUCACUUUAUCAUAUAAUCCCAUCAAUAUGCAUAUCUCAAAUUAUCCACAAGCUUAACAUAAACUAAAUUAUCACCCAAAUCAAAUUCUUAAUUCUAAGAUCAUAAUAAAUUGUCACCCAAAUCAACUUUAACAAAUAACUCUCCAAAAUCAAAUACUCGCGGAUACAAAUACUAACAUCAUAAUCGCAUUACAUGUAUAAUCAUUUCCUUAACAGUACAAAAUAUAGCUUUAUUCUCCUUAGUGAUCAAAUCACAAAUCUUAACUAUAAUUACCAUCACAUAACAAUAAUAACCUUGGCUAAUUAUAUUACUUUCCUCAAAUCAACUACAAAUCGAAAAGAUAUCGACAAUUGGUCAAAAUAGAGACCAACCAAACAAAUAACCAAAUUGAAACAAACGUCUACGUCUACCCAGUGGUUUACCCAUAACUCACAGGUCAAACUUAAAGGCAAUCUACAGAAUCAUAGCUUAAUCUCUGAUACCAACUCUAUAACACUCCCUUUCCGAAAUAAAAAGAGAGGUUACACACAAAACAUAACAAACUUCAAAAUAAGUAAACAUAAUACUAAUAAUUUCAAAAAUCUAAUAGUUGGUCAUCCAAAAAUGUCAAAUUAAAUACAAUUCUCCCAAAAUUUACACAAUAAUCAAAACCUAAAAUCAAACAAAUCUAUUAGGUUAGAGGUAUCUAUCUCUUCACACAACCCUGAAUCAUCCCUGCAAACCUGUCAGAAGAAAAACACAGCAUGAGCCAAUUGCCCAGUACGGAUAUAAAGUUGCACAAAUAUAAAACAAUUUAUAUAUGUACCAAAAUAACUGAAUGAUCGAACAAAUACAAACUACGAACAAUACAGACUACAAACCAAAUAUGAAUAUAUCGAAAUUGGUGAGACAAGGUACAAAUGAUUAACAUUGUCAAACUGAAAACUAUAGUCAAACGAAUUCCAAACAAAAUAAGGUUGAAUUAAAUGGUUCUACGAUAACCAUUUCAUACUGAGCUCAAAUACAAAUAGCCAAAGGCUAACUAAAUACAUUGGUACCAUGAUGUAUACAAAUCAAAACGGAUAGUAUGCACAACACAUACGCCACUAAUCCGCCAAACAAAUCAAAUCGAAUUAAGUACUGGGUCGACCCAUACGUAUCUUGAACAAACAUAUUAAAUGACCAAAGCUCACACUCAGAGCAACAUACAAAAGGAUACGCCGUGUACUGAUCACACCGCCACGGAAGGUGUCAUGCCCUUAUGUCAAGAGGAAAUGCCUGUGGUACCUCCACAAGUGGUUAACUCAAGUAUACCCUAAGGAUCAAACUACAAAAUGUAAGCCAAAAGGGGUUCAAAUCACAAGGCUCACAUGACCAUCUCCAAAUGACAUCGAAUUAUCAAAUACGAACAUACUUAAUUAUCACAAGAUAUCAAUGAUCAAAAUAAAUCCCGAAUUUGAACGAAAAUAUACGAAGAAUGAUAGAAAUGAAUAAAGUCUCCAAAACAUAUCAAUAUGAUUAACUAGUUCAAAGAGUACAAAUACAAGUUCGAAUAUCAACGUCAAAACGAAACUAUCACAAUAAAUUUGACUAGGAAUAGUCAUGAGACAAUACCAAAUUUAUAAACGAGUAGCAAAACGAAUGAAUUAAAAUUAAAAGAGUUGUUGAAAAAUACGGAAUCCGUACCUUAAUAUAGUAUUAAAACAAUUCAUCAAAGCCAAAUAUCACACUGCUAGACCUCCUUAAUCCGAUCUAUAUAAUUACCAAAUUAAUAUAAAACCAUAAAUUAGAUUACUAACUUGCAAAAUUUACAUUUUCGUAAAUUAACCAUUUUAAUGUAAUAAUAUUAUGCACAUUUUGUAAUUAAGAUAUAUAUUUUACUAUAGUGUAAUUAAAUUUUAUAACAUUAUAAUGUUAUUAUAUUAACUCCACAUUCCUAGUUUAAAACUUCAUGUAAACAAGUAUUCUAAAUUAAUAUACAAAUAUGUAAGCAAUUUUUUUUUUUUUAUAAAAGGAAGAAGUUUUAAAUUUAUGAAAUAAUUCCCCACUACAUGUACAAGUAAUCAGUAUUUAAAAUAAAAUAUGUUCUUAUAUAUGUAUAAGUAACAGUUUAGUUGCAUAAUAUUAUAAAAUCUCCUUAUUCUGAAAUUCCAUUUGCAUAAAUGUAUCAUAUAUGUAACUAAUUAUCAUAUAUGAUCAUAAUAAUAAAAUAAAUAUUUUUCUUUAUAAUCACAUAAAUUUAAUAAUUACCUUUUGAAAAUACAAUUAUGUUGAAUGUAAUCUCACGAUUUUCUUCCCCAAAUUUUCCUUUUGUUUCACAACUCUCUCUUUCGCCUCUUCUUCGUUUCUCGUUGCGUCAAAACCCUCUCCUUUCGUUUAGUCGAUUUAUACCAAUAUAUAUAUUAGGGAGGGCUUUGACCUAAUAUAUUAGUGUUACCCCUAUUCCAAUUAGGUUUUUAAACCCAACACUUUAAAAUUGGGCUCAAAUAGUUUUACAAGCCCAAACUUAAUUACUUUGAAAUUAGUUUUACCCAAUUAGUACAAGGCCCAAAUUAAUGUAAUCACA
rnacentral:lncRNA from 1 species